GCCUGGGUGGCUCAGUCAGUUAGGCUUCUGACUUUGGCUCAGAUCAUGAUCUCAUGGUUUGUGGGUUCGAGCCCCCCAUCGGGCU
rfam:Felis catus isolate Cinnamon breed Abyssinian chromosome D4, whole genome shotgun sequence.